CUCGGCGUGGCGACCGGCAAGACCCGUGUGGGCCUGCAGCGCGCACUGGCCGCCAGCGGCCUGACGCAGUUGUUCGACGCCACGCGCUGCGC
rnacentral:tRNA from 1 species